rnacentral:rRNA from 1 species
UGGGGAAUAUUGCACAAUGGGCGCAAGCCUGAUGCAGCCAUGCCGCGUGUAUGAAGAAGGCCUUCGGGUUGUAAAGUACUUUCAGCGGGGAGGAAGGGAGUAAAGUUAAUACCUUUGCUCAUUGACGUUACCCGCAGAAGAAGCACCGGCUAACUCCGUGCCAGCAGCCGCGGUAAUACGGAGGGUGCAAGCGUUAAUCGGAAUUACUGGGCGUAAAGCGCACGCAGGCGGUUUGUUAAGUCAGAUGUGAAAUCCCCGGGCUCAACCUGGGAACUGCAUCUAAUAGUGGCAAGCUUGAGUCUCGUAGAGGGGGGUAGAAGUCAAGGUGUAGCGAGGAAAUGCGUAGAGAGCUGGAGGGAUACCAGUGGCGAGGGCGGCCCCCUGGACGAAGACUGACGCUCAGGUGCGAAAGCGUGGGGAGCAAACAGG